UUCCCAUCCCGAACAGGACCGUGAAACGACUUUGCGCCGAUGAUAGUGCUGCAACCAGUGUGAAAGUAGGUUAUCGUCAGGC
rnacentral:rRNA from 1 species